rnacentral:lncRNA from 1 species
UCAAAUGUGCAGGAAAUAAUUAUUCUACGAUGUCUUUGCCAGUCUUUUGAGCCUGAAUCACUGUUGAGACCUUAUUAAACAAUGUAAUGGCUUGGCUCAGAAAAUAAUUUUAUGACGUCUUUUAACUCAAGUUUCUUAGUUUUUACAGUUCAAGUACUUUUCAGACUACUCUGGUUCUCUUCCAAAUUUAUAUGUGAGAUUCUUGAUAGGAGAGAAUUGUAAAUACAAUAAGGAACAUCAGCCUUAGCAUAUUUGUUAAUGUUUAUUUGGCCCUCUGGGAAAUAGGCCAGUAAAUUUUUAUUGUUUACUUUGAGGGGUUAUUUUAGUGAAAGUGACCCAAAUCAAAUCAAAACAUUUAAAUACCUACCCCUUGGGUUAUGGAUGAAGUGCAUAUGGAAACCACCCAAGCUUUAGGUGCUGCUAUUAGUGACAGAAAUAGUAACUGCUAACACAUUGUUUAUUCUUUGCCAGAAACUUUUAUAUUUGAAAAUACAUUCAAGGAGUUUCCUAGUGGCCUAGCAGUUAAGGACCCAGUGUUGUCACUGCUGUGGCACACGUUAGACCCCUGUGGCCAAAAAUAAAAUCCAUUCAAUUCUUGUAACCACUUUAUGAGGGAGAUGUAUCAUUAUUCCCAUACUAUAAGGUAAGGAAACGGAGUCACAGGGUUAAAAUAGCAUACCUAAUGCCGCAUAACUAGUAAGGGGAGGAGUCAGGACUCAAGCUCUGGUAAUUUGAUUGCAGAACUCACACUCAGUAAUUACAUCUACAACCUCUGUCCUAUAGUUAACAAGAGGUAGAGGAGACAAAAUUAAAUAUUAAGCCCUAAAAUGUUCAAAAUGAUAGUGAUACCUUCCAAAGAAAGUCUUAAAGUUAGGUUUGUAUGUGAAAGUACCAUACUAAGCACAAAUUAGUUUCUCACAUAUUCCAUGAUGGUACUACUGUCCCAUUGUAAGGAGGCAUGCUCUGACAAGUGUUUCGGUAACACAGGAUGUGGGAUGUUUAUGUGUUCUUGUCCCUCAGUGUGUAUGUGUGGUCCAUGGAUAUACUUGUAGCUAUAUGAAUUCAGUCGGCCUUUAAUAGUGUCCUCCCCUGAGAAAACUGUCCAGAAUAAAGCCACACAAUCUAUAGGUCACACUUGGUUGUACUGUUUUUGAGGUAUCAGCAUCAAACAGCAUUGUCAUCUCACUUUACAUGUCUCUGGAAGCUAAUCAAAAUCUAAAGGAAAAUUGACCUUUUGUAACUAAAAGACCACAAACAAACUAUACAUUUAAAUUGUAAACUUAGUUUGCAAAUUACCUAUCCCUAAGCUAUCAGAUAUACCAUUUUCUUAGUAUUUCAUGUCAAUUUAAAGAAUUGGACUUCUGGCAAAGCUUAAUAAUCAUUAACUUCUUUCUGUCUUACAGAGCAAUUCCAGGCAGUAUAUAGCAAGCUCUUACACAGCCUUCAGACAUACUCUUGGGUAUUACCUCAGAGAGGCAACCUCGUCCCCCCGCCAUUUCACAUACACAGAAAAUUGAUAGCUCCCGUUUCUGUUUUAUCAGCCCUGUAGUCGUUUCAUUAUUGCUUAUGUGGCCUCAUAAUUGUGAUUAUUUUCUUCCUUAUUUCUCUAAGAUUAGCCUGUAAGCCUAAAAGGCUUGAGCCCAGGCGGUAUCUUAACUUAUUUGGUGACUAAUGUAGUAAAUAGAGCCAGUGACUUCACAUAGCACUCAGUAUUAUGUUAGUUCCCUUCCUUACUAUGGAAUACAUUGAUACCAAUAUUAGUAUGACUACUCAAAACAACUUACUUUUUAGAUAGCCAGAGUUAGACCUUACUUUUCAGUGGAAUUCUCCUAGUCUCAAUUAAGUCAAAUCUAUUUCCAGAUUACCAAUAUCACAUUUUCAUUGAAGGAUCAGAUGGAAAGAGAAAUGAAAAACAUGAAAUAGUUCUUGCCAGGCACUUAUUUUGACAUCACCACUGCCCCCACCAAAAAAAAAAAAAAAAAAAAAAAAAAAAG